UGAGUCAGGAGAAUUGCCUGAACCCAGGGGGUGGAGGUUGUGGUGAGCCGAGAUCGCGCCAUUGCACUCCAGCCUGGGUAACAAGAGCGAAACUCCGUCUCAAAAAAAAAAAAAAAAAAAAAAAAAAAAAAGAAGCUAGAUCUUGAUACGGAGAAAGAGGAGGUUUUGUGCAACCAGGUUGGCUUCAUCGUUUUAGAGUCAUGGGAAGAGAGGCAGGCCAGAACCCUCUGGGUCAUCUGUUUUACAAGCUCAGCUAGGUAAAGUGACGUGAUUUAUAUAAACUACGAAAAUAAUCAGUUGUCAAUGGAAUCUACCUGAGAUCAUUCAGGGGCAAAAAAGCAGAAUUUGACCAAUCAUAUGAUUAGAAAAAGAAAACUCCUUAUUAAUAUCCAUUGAGUUCAAACUAUUUAGUGACACAGGUACCCUUAAACUAUCAGCUCACCCAGAACAGAGUUUUGCAGAAAGUGUUUUGUGGACCAGUAAAGCAGAUUUUUAACAUCUUGCUUUUUGUUUUCUCUUUCUGAUCCCUUCUCAGAAUCACCAGCAGCAACUUGCCAACUCAGUUUUCCUACUUACUCUGUAUCUUCCUGGACUCUACAGUAGAAAACAGAGAAUUCAAUUUGUUCAACUCUUUGAAAUAUUGACUCAUGCGGGAUGGAGGUCCUGUUCACCUGAUGGAAUGUGUGCCAAGGCUGAAUCUCCAUAGUCUGAAUUUGGUUGUUAAAUGACCCAACAAAAUCAUUUACCCCUAUAUUGGAGCCUGUGCCAUGUUCUGGGAGUACAGGAAUAAUUGACAAAUGGCUCCUUCCCCAAUAAGCUCAUGACCUGCUGAGGAGAUAAGAGGACCAUAUGUUGGGAUUUUUGCUGUUUUUACUAGACAGGAAACAGAAAUAUAUCUCUGUUCUAUUAAUUAUUUUUCUUUUUUCAAGUACUUUAUUUAAGAUAAUGUACUAGUAGGGUUUUUCUGAAGAAGCUGAGGAAAUAUCCUCUGCUAAAUGUCUUCUCAGAAAGGUACUUAGGCUAUUUAAACUGCUAAAUGUCUAAGUGACAAAAUUAAAUUACUUAACAUGUAUGUAGCCCUUUCUUUCCAAAGGCUACACAUUUGCCGUGCACUCUAAAGUUGAUACCCCUCACCAUAUUUCAGUGACUUCAAAUCUGUAUUUUAUCUCUGAAUAAUCUCUUUGAUUUCUGGUUGAGUUCACUAAGAAAUCAGUUUGUUUUCCAAAUGUAAAAAUAGAAAAAGCUCGAAUUUCUGCUUAAGGUUAUUUGGAAAAAUAUGCUUCAGUAAUUAACCCUUCUAUGAAGUGAUUUCACAGCUAUAUGACUCUCUUCUAUUCUACCUAGGGUAACACAACAUUUUUGCCACCUGGUAACCGUUUAGUGGCUUGCUGUCUGUCAGACUGGAAUCAUUAAUCUAAGAUCCACAAAACACACUGAGCUCAUCAAAAACUAUCAACCACAUUUAUCACAUGGCGAGCAGUAAUUAAUACACUCACUGCACAUCUCAGCGAUGCCAAGUGGUAACCGUGCCCAGAGACAGAGUCAUUUGGUGGGUGGUCUGAGGGUGGUAUUCUUUUAGGAUAAAUUGAGACAUAUUGGUAAGAAACUUGCUGCCUAUCUAAAUAGGAAAACUGAAGACUCUGUGUGUCUAGCAGUAUUGCUCUGAGCAUGUCCCAUGGUUGUGUGGAUUUCCUUGAUGUCCUCAGAUAAGGCUAAUUACCUUUGCUACAAGUACCUUUGAUGUAUUUCCCUUAAGCAUUUUUUACAGAGAUUUCUCACUAGGUACUUUCCCUUUCUCCUGCUAGUCUGUGAGUACCCAGAAGACUGAAUAUACGUGUAUUCAUACUUCUAACUUUGAACUGGCACAGUUCCUGUAAUCUGUUACUAUCUCAUUGCUGCCUAUUAAAUGAAUGACUGACUAUGCUGCACAUGAACAGGCAAUACAUACAAAUGGACUGGAAUAAAGGUGUGGGCUUUUCAGGUGUAGGCUGAUUGGUGUUAUAUUAUAUUAUAGUAUCCUGAUUGCCUUGCCCUGUGUUGGCAUAAAAAAGUGCUCAAUAAAUAAAUGCUUAUUGAAUGUACUUCUUGACAAGGCUUCAGUAGGCUGCUCACUGCAGCCUCAACCUCUCAGGUUCAAU
ensembl:lncRNA